AAACAGGCGUUGAUAAGAACAAGUAAUAAUACGCAAAAGCACACAGAAAGCAGCCGGCUGAUGAGAGGCGCGUGGAAAGUGGAUUAUGAAUACAUCUUUGAGCUUCACACUGAAAGCCGAUGGAAAAAGGACUUAAGGUCCUGUGGACCGGUGAGUAGACUGUGACGGAUUCCUGCACACGUUAUCGUGCUAGAGUAUAAGAAUCGUACUCGAAAAGGUAAACGGCGUGAGCCGUUUAUAAAUUAAGGUGGUAACACGGGAUUACAGUCUCGUCCUUUGA
rnacentral:ncRNA from 1 species